rnacentral:lncRNA from 10 species
GAGGGGUCAGGGCAGGGGGAUUCUAGAGGGGUGCGUGGGAGAGUAAACCUCACGUCCAGCAGAGACCGAAGGGGGCUCCUCGCAGGGAGGGAUGGGGGGUGAGAGGCUGCAGAGGUUGCCUGGGGCCUGCUGGGACUUGACCUAGCUGACAGUGGGCACCAUUGAGAAAUGUGCAGUGGGAAGUGGCGGGGCCACGUUUGCAUUCUAGGAGGAUGUCCUGGCAGCCGGGGAGGGUGGUCUGCAGGGGCCAGAGUGGAGGCCGGAAGGCCAGCGAGGGGUUGUCAAAUGUGGCGUCCAAAGCAAUGCCUCCAACUGCCAGCGGAGAGAAGUCUCAUUAGCAAAAAGAAGGAGGAAUUGCUCCUGCCACUUAGACUGCAAAAAACCCAAGUUCAACAUAAAAUAAAAUAGACUUUUUAUUUUCUGAUUUUGCAUUUUCUAUUAUCUGUCCUUCUUUUGCUGUUCCGUGUCAUCUCCUUGUUUCCUCUCUGGUUUUCCAUGAGUUCUUUGCAUACUUUGUUUUCAAUUUUAAAAUGCAUAUCUUUCCGUAUAAAGUUAAUGGCCCUGCCUCCCUGCAGCUGGGGAGACCUGAGUUCAAAUCCCAGCUCUGCUGUUUGCCGCCUGCUGUUCCUUCUUUGUGAAAGGGGAGGUUUCAGUCCCUCUCCGAAAGGGGCAUGUGAAGAGGAGGUCAUGCCCAGCAGAUAUUUACGAGGAUGUCUAAGACAUGGGAACUAGGACGAUUGUUUUCAAUAUUAUGCUUCUUUAAAAGGCUGUUUUAGCUGUUUAAGCAAUCCAGGCAAAGAUAAGGUGCUGAGUUCUAUGAAGAGAACACAGAGAGAUUAAUUCCAGAGAUACGUCAGGGGUGAGGACGACCUCACCUAACAGGUGACUGUCAUGCCUGUGAGAAAAUACCUUUUCCAAAUGGUGCCGUCCACUUCUAUCUCUCCACGGAAGGAUGGUGAAGUCUUCCACCUGGAGCUCCUGAGAGAACAGUGGGCUUAGUGGAAACACCACACACCUGGCUGGGUGUUUUCAGGUGGAGACGCUGAGGGCUGUUUCUUUCCAGUCCUGGAAGACGCGGAAUUUCUUCUCGGCAGCUUUGCUCGGCCUGCGUCUGAGCGAUGAGGAAACUGAGACACAAAAAUGGGGGAUGACUUGCCCAGGAAGCUGGACCACAUCACACAACGUUACUAUUGUAAUACCUUUAUCAAGAGUACCUCACAUGGCAACAAUGGGAGAAAAAUCAUACAGCUGGCUGCGUCAGGGAGAAAAGGAAGGGUGCCCCGGAGGCCACGGGAGACCAAGACAAUCCCUCUGUGGCUCAGAGUCUGAAUCCUUGUAUCAAGGUUGCUUCUGAGGGCCCCGAACAAGACAAGCACCAGCACUCCAAAGGACUGGCAGAGCUCAACUCCAAAGUCAUAAGAGGACGGCAGCGAUGGACUACCAGGUCUAGGAAAGGCCCCAGAGAUUUGCUUGAAGAACACAUUUCAGAACAUGAAGAACACGACGUGGUACAUUUUUAAACCGUCCGAUCCUGUAAUCAGCCAAUAAUAUGUGUUCACUUGAAGCCCGCCCAACACACUGGCCAGGCUUUCAUCAUCAUUCCCAAUCACCAAGCAGACUGCCCAGGCGGCCACUACCUCUCAGGAAGGCUUCUGGGACAAUCUCAAGGCGAUGUGUGAACUCGGGAAUCUUGUAAGCAUUUUGCUCACGCAACUUGGCUUUCUUUGGAACUUGAAGCUUGCUUCUGUUCAACUGAAAUCAAAAUUGCCUGUCAUGGAGAUGUGCUUGCAGGCUGUGACUGCGGCUCCACACUGGAACUUUUAGCUACAACCCCCACAAACACUGACUGAGAAUACUGAAUGGGGUGCUGGGGUGAACAGAGGAAAACUUUGGAUGCUGAGAAAAUGAUGCAAGCUCAGUGACCUCCCAUUCAACUGGAGGGGGUCUGUGGGGAUCAGAAGAAGCAAGGCUUCACUGGUUUCCAUUUUCCUGAGCUAACGGCCACAAGCUUAUUCCAAUGGACCCUUGUGAUUUGAGAUAGUUUGUGCUGGCUGCAUUUGGAGCUCCAGCUUCCGUGGGAGUUGGAGCGGAAAGAACACUGAAAUGUCCUCUUCUUGCUGGGAGCCGUGGACACCUCUUCUGGAGAAGGAUGAAGAAACUGAGGCACAGGGAUGUGAAGUAACUGGCCCAAGUGGGUGACAAAGCUGGGAUCGGAACCAGCAGGUAUUCACGAUUGUGAUGCAACCAGCCUCGGAGACACCCUGAGAAACGCCGCCUAAUGGAAUCCAUCCCUCGGGACAGAAGCCGCCGGUCUUCCCUGACCGCACCCACUCGCCCCACAGAGCACCCCCUCCUUGUCAAAGCCGGCGACUCUGCAGGCUUCUGGUGCAGACAAUGUGGCCACCAGAUGCACGGCACCCAGCUUGCGGGGAUGCCGGGCAAAUGUUAUUACAGCGAUAACAGUGAUUCUGCUUAGGAUAACAAUGAUGGAAAUCUGUAUUAAAUGACUUGAAACUGCUGAUGCCUUUCCUUUUCCCCAAAGAGAAGAAAGGGAUGCGAAUGUGUCACUUGAACUGGCUGCUGCGGUUCAUCUGGACUCCAUCGUUCCUGCCAUCAUCUUUAUUAGUAGCAUUGUUUUAAAAAAAUGAGUAAGUUUGAAACCACCAGGUGUUUUGAAUUUUUAUCUUGUUCACUUGCUUACAUGAGGAAAUUCAAAUGGAGACCAAUGCAUUAGUAAAAGCCCAGUGGAAGGAGAGUGCCCCUUCUCUCCCGGGUGGGGGGCUCCCUGCCCUCCCUGACAGGCUCCCCCUAGUUCUGGGUUCUGGCUGCAGUUCCAGCCCCGACCACCAGGAGUUGAUCUCGGGAGCGUUAUCUGCGCAGCUCCUUCCCAGUCCUCCUCUGAGUCCUCCGUGACUUCAAGCAGCCACACGCCUCCUUCUCCCUCCCUGUUAAUCCCCACCGAAAGCAGGCUUGGUGUGGCCGCUCCCCAGACUCACAGGCCCUUCCUGGUUAUUUCUGCAGAAUCCACUCUCCCUGUCAGUCUGGGAAAGAAAGCAGAGAGAGAAAAAGAGCUGUAGCGUCAAGGGGACUGCCAGAUCCCGCAGCAAUCCUCCGUGCUCCAGGGUCUCCUUCGGGCGCCUUGCAAUCUCAGCGCCAGCUACUGAACACCUAGAGUAUUGUUCAGUGGAGGAUGCCAAGGGAGGCCUCGAGCCUGAAUUAGCCCCGUGAAAGGGGUCUUGCUCCCCCGCUCAUACGCUGAGGUCCAGGGAGCAUAGGCAGCUUCCCCAGGGCGACCAUAAGGGCCCGCACGCAAUGUGGUGACCCCCUUUCCCUCUGUCGUUUGGCCACCUCAGCUAUUACAACAGGAAGCCAUUGGCCGGGCGCGGUGGCUCACGCCUGUAAUCCCAGCGCUUUGGGAGGCCUAGGCGGGCAGAUCACGAGGUCAGGAGAUCAAGACCACCCUGGCUAACACGGUGAAACCCCGUCUCUACUGAAAAAAAAAAAAAAAAAAAA